rnacentral:rRNA from 1 species
GACAGAGGGUGCAAACGUUGCUCGGAAUCACUGGGCGUAAAGCGCGUUCAGGCGGUCUGGCAAGUCGGGCAUGAAAUCUCUCGGCUCAACCGGGAGAGGUUGUCCGAUACUGCUGGACUUGAGGGCAGUAGAGGGUGGUGGAAUUCCGGGUGUAGUGGUGAAAUGCGUAGAUAUCCGGAGGAACACCAGUGGCGAAAGCGGCCACCUGGACUGUACCUGACGCUGAGACGCGAAAGCUAGGGGAGCGAACGGG